UUGGAGGGCAAGUCUGGUGCCAGCAGCCGCGGUAAUUCCAGCUCCAAUAGCGUAUAUUAAAGUUGUUGCAGUUAAAAAGCUCGUAGUUGAAUUUCGGGAUUGACACAUCGGUCGUGCCUUAAGGGGUAUGAACUGGUGUAGUCAAUUUCUCACCUUCUGGAGAACCGCGAUGCCCUUAAUUGGGUGUCACGGGGAACCAGGACCUUUACUUUGAAAAAAUUAGAGUGUUUAAAGCAGGCAUUUUGCUUGAAUACAUUAGCAUGGAAUAAUAAAAUAGGACGGCAUGAUUCUAUUUUGUUGGUUUCUAGGAUCACCGUAAUGAUUAAUAGGGAUAGUUGGGGGCAUUAGUAUUCAAUUGUCAGAGGUGAAAUUCUUGGAUUUAUUGAAGACUAACUACUGCGAAAGCAUUUGCCAAGGAUGUUUUCAUUAAUCAAGAACGAAAGUUAGGGGAUCGAAGACGAUCAGAUACCGUCGUAGUCUUAACCAUAAACUAUGCCGACUAGGAAUCAGACGAUGUUAAUUUUUAAUGACUCG
rnacentral:rRNA from 1 species